rnacentral:rRNA from 1 species
GACGAACGCUGGCGGCGUGCCUAAUACAUGCAAGUUGAGCGAUGAAGAUUGGUGCUUGCCCCAAUUUGAAGAGCAGCGAACGGGUGAGUAACGCGUGGGGAAUCUGCCUUUGAGCGGGGGACAACAUUUGGAAACGAAUGCUAAUACCGCAUAAUAACUUUAAACAUAAGUUUUAAGUUUGAAAGAUGCAAUUGCAUCACUCAAAGAUGAUCCCGCGUUGUAUUAGCUAGUUGGUGAGGUAAAGGCUCACCAAGGCGAUGAUACAUAGCCGACCUGAGAGGGUGAUCGGCCACAUUGGGACUGAGACACGGCCCAAACUCCUACGGGAGGCAGCAGUAGGGAAUCUUCGGCAAUGGACGAAAGUCUGACCGAGCAACGCCGCGUGAGUGAAGAAGGUUUUCGGAUCGUAAAACUCUGUUGGUAGAGAAGAACGUUGGUGAGAGUGGAAAGCUCAUCAAGUGACGGUAACUACCCAGAAAGGGACGGCUAACUACGUG